rnacentral:rRNA from 1 species
UACGUAGGGUGCGAGCGUUAAUCGGAAUUACUGGGCGUAAAGGGUGCGCAGGCGGUUAUAUAAGACAGAUGUGAAAUCCCCGGGCUCAACCUGGGAACUGCCGUUUGUGACUGUAUGACUAGAGUACGGUAGAGAGGGGUGGAAUUCCUGGUGUAGCAGUGAAAUGCGUAGAUAUCAGGAGGAACAUCGAUGGCGAAGGCAGCCCCUUGGACCUGUACUGACGCUCAUGCACGAAAGCGUGGGGAGCAAACAGG